CCUCUCGUAGUUCAGUGGAUAGAACAUGGCUUUGCGGAAGCCACGACGCAAGUUCGAUUCUUGCCGAGAGGA
rnacentral:tRNA from 1 species